UCGCCUUCAUCCGAAACAAAAUCCCACCUUUAUCGGUUUUGCACUAAACAAGACCCACCAGCCACAAUUCGCGGUGGUUUUGAACCACCGUAGCAAGAAGAACAAGCCGGAGAGAGAGAGAGAGAGAGAGAGAGAGAGAGAGAGAGAGACUCAGUCAACGACUCCCGCAUAGAGAUAAAAGAGGUUAGUUUGUGAGGGAUGUUCAUAAUUACCAACAAGUAGAUGCAACCUCUAUUUUCUUACGUGUUAACCAUAUACGUUAUGUGAUUGAGAGGAAGUGAGUUCUCUGGCAGAUGAAAGCAAAGAUACCGCCAAGUACAUAUAUUUUUCUAUUCAUGCCCCACGCGGAGGAGGAGGUUCGUCACAAUCUUCUGCAGUGAGUUGGCAGACAGUGUCCUCGCAAGUAGUAAUAUGGGGAAGAUGGUGGGUUUGUCAACAGACUGCAAAGCUUAUUAAAGAAGUGAGUUGACUUGAUCCAUUUCUUUUGUUUCUUUUAUGUUCAUGAAUCUUAAUAGUUUUCAAGAGUUAGGCAAGAGUUUAUGUUCAUUCUAUAGUGAUUAUAUUGGUCGAUGUUAGCUUAAACUAGAGUGAUUGUGAAACCUCUGAAGAAAUGAAAUGUGUUUUGUUUAAAAAUGGCCU